GAGACUCCCUGUCCCGGACCGCAGUCAAAGCACUUAAACACACGUAGUCUCUCUGUAAGAAAGUGUUAAAAGGAUCUGAACAAAGUCUGCUCAAAUCUCCUGCUGUGAACCAGCAGAAUUUUUGAACAGAGACCACGUCUCCAACUCCUGGGCUCCAACGAUUCUCCCAUCUCGGCCUCCCAAAGCGCUGGAGUUACAGGUUUCUUCACAUAUAAAAAUCUAUUGUAAAAAUACGGAAAAGAAUGGCAGCGGAAACGCAGACACUGAACUUUGGGCCUGAAUGAUAUGUUUGGACCCCGAAUAUGGAAUUCUCAUGGAAUUUUGAGAUCCAUCACAUUGUAGUGUGGCUUCCCCCCCCCCCUUCCUUUUUCCCCAAAGUUGGUGAUUGAAGAACCUCUCUUCAGUGGCAUCAAUAAUAAUAAUUACUUUUUCUAUUCAAACCUCGGGCAACCCCUUUGGUAAUAUCAGAAGCAGUAUCUAAAAUAGAUAAAUUGGAUUUGUGUCUUAAACUCUUGGUUGUUCAGGUGGGAGUGGUUCAAUAAAUGAUGCAGACUUCCCGUAGUAACUCUAUUUGAGGAGUCUUAUUAACUUACCCUAUUAGAAAUAUUUCUUUUUAUUAAUAUAUGUAAUCUGGAAGUUUUCUUAACCUUUAUAGCCAGCAUUUGGAGACUGAGGAGAAAUCACUAUUUGAAGUUCUAAGAACUGAUGGAACUCCUGUAUUUUGAGAGUUUAUUUAGAACAUGUUAACCUAAGUAAUGCUGUACUUGUUUUAGUUAUUCCUUUAUAUUUUUUAAAUGAUUUUCUUAUUAUCAAAUUAAUAUGUUUCUAAAAAAAUUAGAAAUUACUAGUAAGCCAGAAA
rnacentral:sRNA from 1 species